GACGAACGCUGGCGGCGUGCUUAACACAUGCAAGUCGAACGAAGUGGCGAACGGGUGAGUAACGCGUAAUCAACAUGCCCUUCAGAGGGGGAUAACAGUUGGAAACGACUGCUAAUACCGCAUACUGAAGGAGGGGAUUUCGACGGGUUCGCUAGUUGGAGGGGUAACGGCCCACCAAGGCGAUGAUCAGGAGCCGGUACGGGGGUGUGAACGGCCACAAUGGGACUGAGACAAGGCCCAGAAUCCUACGGGAGGCAGCAGUGGGGAAUCUUCCGCAAUGGAGUAAAGUCUGACGGAGCAACGCCGCGUGAGUGAUGACGGCCUUCGGGUUGUAAAGCUCUGUUAAUCGGGACGCGGUACCGGAAUAGAAAGCCACGGCUAACUACGUGCCAGCCGCCGCGGUAAUUC
rnacentral:rRNA from 1 species